AGAAAGUAUCUUCGGAUAUUAUUAGAGCGGCGGACGGGUGAGUAACGCGUAGGAAUCUACCUAGUAGAAGGGGAUAGCCCGAGGAAACUCGGAUUAAUACCGUAUACCUCCUCCGGGAGAAAGAAGGCCUCUCUUUGAAGCUUUCGCUACUAGAUGAGCCUGCGUAAGAUUAGCUUGUUGGUGAGGUAAAGGCUCACCAAGGCUACGAUCUUUAGCGGGUCUGAGAGGACGAUCCGCCACAUUGGGACUGAGACACGGCCCAGACUCCUACGGGAGGCAGCAGUGGGGAAUAUUGGACAAUGGGCGAAAGCCUGAUCCAGCCAUACCGCGUGUGUGAAGAAGGCCUUAGGGUUGUAAAGCACUUUAAGUUGGGAAGAAAGGUUAUUGGCUAAUACCCAAUAACUGUGACAUUACCAUCAGAAUAAGGACCGGCUAAUUCCGUGCCAGCAGCCGCGGUAAUACGGAAGGUCCAAGCGUUAAUCGGAAUUACUGGGCGUAAAGCGCGCGUAGGUGGUUUAUUAAGUUGGAUGUGAAAGCCCCGGGCUCAACCUGGGAACUGCAU
rnacentral:rRNA from 1 species